rnacentral:rRNA from 1 species
UACAGAGGGUGCAAGCGUUAAUCGGAAUCACUGGGCGUAAAGGGUGCGUAGGCGGGUUUUUAAGUCAGGGGUGAAAUCCUGGAGCUCAACUCCAGAACUGCCUUUGAUACUGAAGAUCUUGAGUCCGGGAGAGGUGAGUGGAACUGCGAGUGUAGAGGUGAAAUUCGUAGAUAUUCGCAAGAACACCAGUGGCGAAGGCGGCUCACUGGCCCGGUACUGACGCUGAGGCACGAAAGCGUGGGGAGCAAACAGG